CUUCUUUGAUUUCAAAAGGCUCUGAUUUAUUCCUUAAAGCAUCUGUGGGACUUGGUGCAUCCAAAGGUACAUGUGCUUGAUUGUUACUCACAUCUUUAGCAGACCAAAGCUCAUCAGAAUUAUCAAGACUUACAUUGCCAAAUAUAGGGUCAUCAUGGCUGCAAAAGCAUGACUUGUGAGAAUAUUCAAUCAGAUAGAUGCCGUUGUAAAAUACAAAGACUAACAACUAUAAGGAUAGAUGCAUGUCUAGAAUUGUUUAUGUUAGUUACUCAGGAACUUUGGUAUUUCUCAUCACUUGGACAUGAAUUAAAGCCGAGGGGAAAUAAAACUACCCACUGACAAUUAUCAAAGUUCAAAAAUUAGAAACACAAAGCCCUGUUUCCUAGUUUAAAGAGUAGAGGUGUUCCAAAAUUUCACAUCAGAAUCAUCCCUAUUUCACUUUGCAUGAUUUUACUCUAUUGUUGCAGCUACAUGGCAUAGCUGCACAUAAGUUUCACAGAAUAAAUUUGAAGUAACUUACUAAGAUGGAGCAGUUUGUAAACAAUUGUGAAAAGUGGGGAAUACAACACUUAGGUUAACAGAAGAGUUUAGUCCAUCUUACACACUUCGGAGAUUUAGGAAAUAAAUCAAUACAAAUAAAUCCAGGACAUUAGUGAUCAUAAUGCUAAAAUGCUAUCAGACAUAUGCUUGUAUCAGAUAUAGAAUAAUAAAGAUAAUCUACUUUACCUGAAAAUUCGAUCAAGGUCAUCAAAACUUCCUAUGUUAGCCCAGUCAUAAUCAACAAAAUCACCUUGUUCUUUACCUUCUUCGGCAUUUUGGAAAAAUUGAGCAUCCUUUUCAUGCUGUGUGGUCUCUUCUGUCAAACAUUUAUACAAUUAGGAAUGGAAAAUACAGCUAAUAUCAUGCAUGUUCAUUAUUUUCAUAUUAUGAAGGUGGGAUGCAAGCACAUAAAAACAUGAGCAGACAGACGCCUGCACAAACAAAAAACACAUAGACAAAUAUGAGACUUGCUAUCUACUUAUAAUUCCAGCAAUUAUCAAUUUUAC
rnacentral:lncRNA from 1 species